rnacentral:rRNA from 1 species
AUUGAACGCUGGCGGCAUGCUUUACACAUGCAAGUCGAACGGCAGCGCGGGCUUCGGCCUGGCGGCGAGUGGCGAACGGGUGAGUAAUGCAUCGGAACGUGCCCAGUAGUGGGGGAUAGCCCGGCGAAAGCCGGAUUAAUACCGCAUACGACCUGAGGGUGAAAGCGGGGGACCGAAAGGCCUCGCGCUAUUGGAGCAGCCGAUGUCGGAUUAGCUAGUUGGUGGGGUAAAGGCUUACCAAGGCGACGAUCCGUAGCUGGUCUGAGAGGACGACCAGCCACACUGGGACUGAGACACGGCCCAGACUCCUACGGGAGGCAGCAGUGGGGAAUUUUGGACAAUGGGGGCAAGCCUGAUCCAGCCAUGCCGCGUGCGUGAAGAAGGCCUUCGGGUUGUAAAGCGCUUUUGUUCGGGAAGAAAUCCUCUGAGCUAAUACCCCGGGGGGAUGACGGUACCGGAAGAAUAAGCACCGGCUAACUACGUG